rnacentral:rRNA from 1 species
UACGUAGGGUGCGAGCGUUGUCCGGAAUUAUUGGGCGUAAAGAGCUCGUAGGCGGUCCGUCGCGUCGAAUGUGAAAACCCGGGGCUCAACCCCGGGCCUGCAUUCGAUACGGGCGGACUAGAGUUCGGUAGGGGAGACUGGAAUUCCUGGUGUAGCGGUGAAAUGCGCAGAUAUCAGGAGGAACACCGGUGGCGAAGGCGGGUCUCUGGGCCGAUACUGACGCUGAGGAGCGAAAGCGUGGGGAGCAAACAGG